rnacentral:rRNA from 1 species
AUUGAACGCUGGCGGCAGGCCUAACACAUGCAAGUCGAGCGGCUGAACGGAGCUUGCUUCUGCAUUCAGCUGCGGACGGGCGACUAGUUCCUAGGAAUCUUCCUGUGAGUGGUUGAGAACGUCCUUAAACGGGGGCUAUUACCGCUUACCUCCUUAGGGACAACGUGUGGGAUCUUCGGACCUCAGGCUCUCAGUUGAGCCUACGUCGGGUUAGCUAGUUGGUGGGUUAGAGGCCUACCAACGCGACGAUCCGUAACUGGUCUGAGAGGAUGACCAGUCACACUGGAACUGAGACACGGUCCAGACUCCUACGGGAGGCAGAAGUGGGGAAUAUUGGACAAUGGGCGAAAGCCUGAUCCAGCCAUGCCGCGUGGGUGAAGAAGGUCUUCGGAUGGUAAAGCACUUUAAGUUGGGAGGAAGGGCAGUAAGUUAAUACCUUGCUGUUUUGACGUUACCAACAGAAUAAGCACCGGCUAACUUCGUG